GUCACGUGACACCGCCGGGGGAAACCAACGUGCGAUGAGGUCACGUGACACCAACGGGGGAGGGGGCGCUGUGACAGCGUCACGUGACACCGCCGGGGACACCAAUGUGCGACGAGGUCACGUGACACCACCGGGUUUGGGGGGUGGGGGCUGUGACAGCGUCACGUGACACCGCCGGGGGGACCAACGUGUGAUAAAGUCACGUGAUACCGCCGGGGGACACCAAUAUGCGAUGAGGUCACGUGACACCGCCGGGGGACACCAAUGUGUCACCUCCGGACGUCGCUGUGCCCCAUAGCGCUGUCACUGUGCCCCAUAGCGCUGUCACUGAGCCCCAUAGCGCUGCCACUGUGCCCCAUAGCGCUGUCACUGCGCCCCAUAGCGCCGCCACUGCGCCCCAUAGAGCCAUCCCUGUGCCCCAUAGCGCCAUCCCUGUGCCCCAUAGCGCCGGCACUGUGCCCCAUAGCGCUGCCACUGUGCCCCAUAGCGCUGGCACUGCGCCCCAUAGCGCUGCCACUGUGCCCCAUAGCACCACCGCUGUGCCCCAUAGAGCCAUCCCUGUGCCCCAUAGCACUGCCACUGCGCCCCAUAGCGCCGCCACUGUGCCCCAUAGAGCCAUCCCUGUGCCCCAUAGCGCUGCCGCUGUGCCCCAUAGAGCCAUCCCUGUGCCCCAUAGCGCUGUCCCUGUGCCCCAUAGAGCCAUCCCUGGGCCCCAUAGCGAGACCCCUGUGCCCCAUAGCGCUGUCACUGUGCCCCAUAGCGCUGCCACUGUGCCCCAUAGAGCCACCGCUGUGCCCCAUAGCGCUGCCACUGCGCCCCAUAGCACCACCGCUGUGCCCCAUAGAGCCAUCACUGUGCCCCAUAGUGCUGUCACUGCGCCCCAUAGUGCUGCCACUGUGCCCCAUAGCGCUGCCACUGUGCCCCAUAGCACCACCGCUGUGCCCCAUAGAGCCAUCCCUGUGCCCCAUAGCGCCGUCACUGUGCCCCAUAGCGCUGCCACUGUGCCCCAUAGCGCCGCCACUGUGCCCCAUAGCGCUGCCACUGUGCCCCAUAGCGCUGCCACUGUGCCCCAUAGCACCACCGCUGUGCCCCAUAGAGCCAUCCCUGUGCCCCAUAGAGCCACCGCUGUGCCCCAUAGAGCCAUCCCUGUGCCCCAUAGCACUGCCACUGCUCCCCAUAGCGCUGCCACUGUGCCCCAUAGAGCCAUCCCUGUGCCCCAUAGCGCCACCACUGGGCCCCAUAGUGCCACCAUUCUGCCCUACAGAGCCACCCCUGUGCCCCAUAGCACUGUCACUGCGCCCCAUAGCACUUUCACUGCGCCUCAUAGAGCCAUCCCUGUGCCCCAUAGCACUGCCACUGCGCCCCAUAGCGCCGCCACUGUGCCCCAUAGAGCCAUCCCUGUGCCCCAUAGCGCUGCCACUGUGCCCCAUAGAGCCAUCCCUGUGCCCCAUAGCGCUGCCGCUGUGCCCCAUAGAGCCAUCCCUGUGCCCCAUAGCGCUGUCCCUGUGCCCCAUAGAGCCAUCCCUGGGCCCCAUAGCGAGACCCCUGUGCCCUAUAGCGCUGUCACUGUGCCCCAUAGCGCUGCCACUGUGCCCCAUAGAGCCACCGCUGUGCCCCAUAGAGCCACCGCUGUGCCCCAUAGCGCUGCCACUGCGCCCCAUAGCACCACCGCUGUGCCCCAUAGCACCACCGCUGUGCCCCAUAGUGCUGUCACUGCGCCCCAUAGUGCUGCCACUGUGCCCCAUAGCGCUGCCACUGUGCCCCAUAGAGCCAUCCCUGUGCCCCAUAGCGCCGUCACUGUGCCCCAUAGCGCCGCCACUGCGCCCCAUAGCGCUGCCACUGUGCCCCAUAGCACCACCGCUGUGCCCCAUAGAGCCAUCCCUGUGCCCCAUAGCGCUGUCUCUGCGCCCCAUAGCACCACCGCUGUGCCCCAUAGCACCACCGCUGUGCCCCAUAGUGCUGUCACUGCGCCCCAUAGUGCUGCCACUGUGCCCCAUAGCGCUGCCACUGUGCCCCAUAGAGCCAUCCCUGUGCCCCAUAGCGCCGUCACUGUGCCCCAUAGCGCCAUCCCUGUGCCCCAUAGAACCACCGCUGUGCCCCAUAGCGCUGCCACUGCGCCCCAUAGCACCACCGCUGUGCCCCAUAGAGCCAUCCCUGUGCCCCAUAGUGCUGUCACUGCGCCCCAUAGUGCUGCCACUGUGCCCCAUAGCGCUGCCACUGUGCCCCAUAGCACCACCGCUGUGCCCCACAGAGCCAUCCCUGUGCCCCAUAGCGCCGUCACUGUGCCCCAUAGCGCUGCCACUGUGCCCCAUAGCACCACCGCUGUGCCCCAUAGAGCCAUCCCUGUGCCCCAUAGCGCUGUCUCUGCGCCCCAUAGCGCCGCCACUGUGCCCCAUAGCGGCUUCCCUGUGCCCCAUAGAACCACCGCUGUGCCCCAUAGCGCUGCCACUGUGCCCCAUAGUGCCACCAUUCUGUCCCACAGCGCCAUCCCUGUGCCCCAUAGCGCAGCCACUGUGGCCCAUAGCGCCAUCCCUGUGCCCCAUAGCGCUGCCACUGUGCCCCACAGAACCACUGCUGUGCCCCACAGAGCCAUCCCUGUGCCCCAUAGAGCCAUCCCUGUGCCCCAUAGCGCUGUCACUGUGCCCCAUAGAACCACCGCUGUGCCCCAUAGAGCCAUCCCUGGGCCCCACAGUGCCAUCCUUCUGCCCCACAGAGCCACCCCUGUGCCCCAUAGCGCUGUCACUGCGCCCCAUAGUGCUGCCACUGUGCCCCAUAGCGCUGCCACUGUGCCCCAUAGCACCACCGCUGUGCCCCACAGAGCCAUCCCUGUGCCCCAUAGCGCCGUCACUGUGCCCCAUAGCGCUGCCACUGUGCCCCAUAGCACCACCGCUGUGCCCCAUAGAGCCAUCCCUGUGCCCCAUAGCGCUGUCUCUGCGCCCCAUAGCGCCGCCACUGUGCCCCAUAGCGGCUUCCCUGUGCCCCAUAGAACCACCGCUGUGCCCCAUAGCGCUGCCACUGUGCCCCAUAGUGCCACCAUUCUGUCCCACAGCGCCAUCCCUGUGCCCCAUAGCGCAGCCACUGUGGCCCAUAGCGCCAUCCCUGUGCCCCAUAGCGCUGCCACUGUGCCCCACAGAACCACUGCUGUGCCCCACAGAGCCAUCCCUGUGCCCCAUAGAGCCAUCCCUGUGCCCCAUAGCGCUGUCACUGUGCCCCAUAGAACCACCGCUGUGCCCCAUAGAGCCAUCCCUGGGCCCCACAGUGCCAUCCUUCUGCCCCACAGAGCCACCCCUGUGCCCCAUAGCGCUGUCACUGCGCCCCAUAGUGCUGCCACUGUGCCCCAUAGCGCUGCCACUGUGCCCCACAGCGCCAUCCCUGUGCCCCACAGCGCUGUGCCCCACAGCAUCACACCCCACAGCGCUGUCCAUGUGCCCCAUAGCGCUGUCCAUGUGCCCCACAGCGCUGUGCCCCACAGCGCUGUGCCCCACAGCAUCACCCCCCA
rnacentral:lncRNA from 1 species